rfam:Myotis lucifugus cont2.16053, whole genome shotgun sequence.
GGCAGUUCUCGGGUGAUGCACCCUGGAAUCAGGCUCCCUCCUCUCUGGUUCCAGGUGUGUCACCCAAGAACCGCA